AAACAGGAUGAUAGGAUAAGGCUCAAUGAAAGCACCAAUAGAUAGGUUUACUGAGAAAAUCUAUAAACUCUCAAAGAUAGUGAGACAUUCUUUCAAUAAUAUUCUGCUUGAUUUCCAUCGACAUAACACUUACAUCUCUACAUAAUAUAAAUGUCGCUUCAACGAAAUAUUAGUUGGCAUGCUUUAGAAUCCAAGAAACCCCAAAAAUUCUGGCAUGACAAGUUAAUAGGAACUCUACGGAUUAGUUAUUUAAGAAGGGCAAUUGCUUAGUUAUUUGGGAAGUGCGGUUAACAGAGCCUUCAAUCUUCUCGGAUACGACCCCUCAUCCAUAUAUUUUUACCCGUAACUGCUUCACCUUCAAUCUAUUUCUCUUUCUCUAACAAUUCGUCUCUUCUAAUUUAUGAAAAACCUAAUUCGUCUUUCUCUGUCAACAAACCCCCUCUCUCUUUCUCUGGCAUUUGAGUGACAAGAAAGAUGAUGCCAAGUUUGAAGAAUUAGCAAGGCGAGAGCAUGGUGAAUCUGCAAACCAAGGAGCUAGGUAAUAAGAGGAGAGUGAUUGGUAUUGUUGUCUUCUGUUUUUCAUGAUUGGAUGACCAAAAGAGAAAGCAGCGGGAAAAAGCUAAAAGCUGAGUGAUAAGCAAGAAGUUGCGAAGAAAAGGAAGUUAAGAAGAAAAAUAAGUGGCAACGAUUAGAUGAAAUUACGAUUUCAGUUUAUUCGACUCAUGAAAAAGCAGGGUCAAUGGAGAUACCCAUGUUGAAUGACUAAUAGACAUACUUGGAUUCUUGCUAUAUCCUACAAGUCAUAUGUGAUGUAUAUGGAAUUCCAAAGUCAAUGAAGAAAAUGAGAAGGUCAUUGAGUGUUUACGGAUCAACUAAAUGCAACCUGAAAGUAAAAAAAUCAAAAUGCUUUAAAAUACGGUGAAUAUCACUUUUGACAUUGACCUCCAUUCAUUCUCUCUUUUCGUAAUGUCAGCUCAGGGAUGAACUGAGAGAUGAAACUAUACAACUUGCAAGUGACUUUUUCCAUAUUCAGUUGAUUUAAUCCAUUGUUCAUAAACUACUAAGAAAUAAAUACAACUAUGCAUUUUAAUAUAA